rnacentral:rRNA from 1 species
GAUGAACGCUGGCGGCGUGCCUAAUACAUGCAAGUCGAGCGAACGGACGAGAAGCUUGCUUCUCUGAUGUUAGCGGCGGACGGGUGAGUAACACGUGGAUAACCUACCUAUAAGACUGGGAUAACUUCGGGAAACCGGAGCUAAUACCGGAUAAUAUUUUGAACCUCAUUGUUCAAAAGUGAAAGACGGUCUUGCUGUCACUUAUAGCUGGAUCCGCGCUGCAUUAGCUAGUUGGUAAGGUAACGGCUUACCAAGGCAACGAUGCAUAGCCGACCUGAGAGGGUGAUCGGCAACACUGGAACUGAGACACGGUCCAGACUACUACGGGAGGCAGCAGUAGGGAAUCUUCCGCAAUGGGCGAAGGCCUGACGGAGCAACGCCGCGUGAGUGAUGAAGGUCUUCGGAUCGUAAAACUCUGUUAUGAGGGAAGAACAUAUGUGUAAGUAACUGUGCACAUCUUGGCGGUACCUAAUCGGAAAGCCACGGGUAACUACGUG